AUAAAGUUUUAUUCUUGCUUAUGUAUUUAUUUUUAUUUGAUAUUAUAUGUAUUUGUUUUUGGGUUGGUAUUUCUGAAGGAUAUUAACUGAUUAAUUUGGCAGUAGUUAGUAUUAUAAAUGAGGGUAACCUUGAUUUAGUUAUAAUAAAUAAAUAUUGAUUAAAUAUGUGCCAGCUGUCGCGGUUAGACAUAAAAUGUGAAUAAAUAUUUUUAGUUAAGUUAGUUAUUAUGUUUUUAUUAAUAAUUUAUUUUGAAUAUUUUUAGGUGAAAUUUAAAUUGUUUGAUUGGAAUUUAUAGAGAAAUUUGGGAAGCUAUGAAGUUUAAUAUAUAAGACUAGGAUUAGAUACCCUAUUAUUUUUUAAUUAAAUUGAUUUAACUUGAGUAGUAGUAGUUAUGGUCUUGAAACUUAAAGAAUUUGGCGGUGUCUUAGUCUAUUUAGAGGAAUCUGUCCCAUAAUCGAUAAUCCACGUGGAACCUUACUUGAUUUAUUAGUAUGUAUACCGCCGUUUAUUGAAGAUCUUUUUAGAGUAUUUUCUAAAUAUUAUAUUGGAUGGAAUUUCAGGUCAAGGUGCAGUUUAUAAUUAAGAGGAGAUGGAUUACAAUAUGUAAAGUAUAUGGAUUGUAAAUUGGAAAAUUUAUAUUAAGGUGGAUUUAAUAGUAAUUAUUUGUAGAUUGUUAUUGUGAUUUUGGCUCUAAGGCGUGCACACAUCGCCCGUCACUCUCGUUAUUUAAGGUGAGAUAAGUCGUAACAAAGUAGGUGUACCGGAAGGUGUAGCUAGAAUUAU
rnacentral:ncRNA from 1 species